rnacentral:sRNA from 1 species
ACGCCGCGCGUCAGCGCCUGGGUGACGUCGAUAUCAUUG